rnacentral:rRNA from 1 species
GACGAACGCUGGCGGCGUGCUUAACACAUGCAAGUCGAACGAUGAUCAGGAGCUUGCUCCUGUGAUUAGUGGCGAACGGGUGAGUAACACGUGAGUAACCUGCCCCUGACUCUGGGAUAAGCGUUGGAAACGACGUCUAAUACUGGAUAUGAUCACUGGCCGCAUGGUCUGGUGGUGGAAAGAUUUUUUGAUUGGGGAUGGACUCGCGGCCUAUCAGCUUGUUGGUGAGGUAAUGGCUCACCAAGGCGACGACGGGUAGCCGGCCUGAGAGGGUGACCGGCCACACUGGGACUGAGACACGGCCCAGACUCCUACGGGAGGCAGCAGUGGGGAAUAUUGCACAAUGGGCGAAAGCCUGAUGCAGCAACGCCGCGUGAGGGAUGACGGCCUUCGGGUUGUAAACCUCUUUUAGUAGGGAAGAAGCGAAAGUGACGGUACCUGCAGAAAAAGCACUGGCUAACUACGUGCCAGCCGCCGCCGUAA